GCGCCGAUAGCUCAGAUGGAUAGAGCACCAGACUACGAAUCUGGGGGUCGGGAGUUCGAAUCUUCCUCGGCGCGCCA
rnacentral:tRNA from 1 species